GUGAGGAAUUUUCCGCAAUGGGCGAAAGCCUGACGGAGCAAUGCCGCGUGAAGGAUGAAGGCCUAUGGGUUGUAAACUUCUUUUCUCAGAAAAGAAUUAUGACGGUAUCUGAGGAAUAAGCAUCGGCUAACUCUGUGCCAGCAGCCGCGGUAAGACAGAGGAUGCAAGCGUUAUCCGGAAUGAUUGGGCGUAAAGCGUCUGUAGGUUGUUUAAAAAGUAUUCUGUCAAAGAUUAGGGCUUAACCCUAGAUAGGCAGAAUAAACUUUUAAGCUAGAGUUUGGUAGAGGCAGAGGGAAUUCCCGGUGGAGCGGUGAAAUGCGUAGAUAUCGGGAGGAACACCAAAGGCGAAGGCACUCUGCUGGGCCAAUACUAACACUGAGAGACGAAAGCGAGGGGAGCAAAUGGGAUUAGAAACCCCUGUAGUAC
rnacentral:rRNA from 1 species